CAUGCAAGUCGAACGGUAGCACAGAGAGCUUGCUCUCGGGUGACGAGUGGCGGACGGGUGAGUAAUGUCUGGGAAACUGCCUGAUGGAGGGGGAUAACUACUGGAAACGGUAGCUAAUACCGCAUAACGUCGCAAGACCAAAGAGGGGGACCUUCGGGCCUCUUGCCAUCAGAUGUGCCCAGAUGGGAUUAGCUAGUAGGUGGGGUAACGGCUCACCUAGGCGACGAUCCCUAGCUGGUCUGAGAGGAUGACCAGCCACACUGGAACUGAGACACGGUCCAGACUCCUACGGGAGGCAGCAGUGGGGAAUAUUGCACAAUGGGCGCAAGCCUGAUGCAGCCAUGCCGCGUGUAUGAAGAAGGCCUUCGGGUUGUAAAGUACUUUCAGCGGGGAGGAAGGUGUUGUGGUUAAUAACCGCAGCAAUUGACGUUACCCGCAGAAGAAGCACCGGCUAACUCCGUGCCAGCAGCCGCGGUAAUACGGAGGGUGCAAGCGUUAAUCGGAAUUACUGGGCGUAAAGCGCACGCAGGCGGUCUGUCAAGUCGGAUGUGAAAUCCCCGGGCUCAACCUGGGAACUGCAUUCGAAACUGGCAGGCUAGAGUCUUGUAGAGGGGGGUAGAAUUCCAGGUGUAGCGGUGAAAUGCGUAGAGAUCUGGAGGAAUACCGGUGGCGAAGGCGGCCCCCUGGACAAAGACUGACGCUCAGGUGCGAAAGCGUGGG
rnacentral:rRNA from 1 species